rnacentral:tRNA from 1 species
GCCGGGGUGGCGGAAUUGGUAUACGCGCAAGACUUAAAAUCUUGUGUCCCUUGGGACGUGUGGGUUCGACUCCCACCUUCGGCA